CUGGCACAGGCAGGUCACAGAGCAGGUGGGAAAGGCUGCCUUGUGAAUGUAGGAACUCAGGAAGAUGCCCAGGCACUAAGCCUUCUCCUUCCCAACACAGAGAGAGUCCACAAGAGAAGGUGGAGACCAUACCCACAGCUGAUCACCUCUCGGCAAAGCAAUUCUUUCACUUAGGACCCAGGGAGAAGAUGGCCAUCUAUGAACUAAAAAGUGGUCCUGAACUAAUGGGGGAUGCUGUUAGCAUCCCCAUCUUGAACCUGCAACUUCUAGAACUCUAAGGAACAUUUUUGCCUGCCGGCCUGUGGCAUGCUAAGGUCAUGACCUUGAUUCCAGCAUGAGACUUUGACAGCCAUGAGAGCUCAUGGAAGAAGCUGAAUUGCUUCCUCCCACAAGCUGGACUCCAGACUGACCAGCUUGGCCAGGGCUGUGUGAAGUACAGCGAAGAGACCAGUGGAGCUGGGCUACAGGUCCCCAGAAAUACAGCUAGCAGACUGCUGCCCCAGUGAGAGUGGACCAUUUAAUGCGCAUGCCCGUGCACUAAAAACUAGUGCACCCCUGUGAUUUCCAGGCAGAAGAACCUCCAAGGUUAAGCGCAACCCCCAAGUCUGCGGGGGAUUCCUUCCCAGCACUGUGCCUUCAACACCGCUUCAAAAAACCUUUAAAAAAAAUAUAUAUGCUAUUGUUUGCAAAAAAAUUAAGAAUAAAUACAACUGGAG
rnacentral:lncRNA from 1 species